rnacentral:rRNA from 1 species
CCUACGGGUGGCAGCAGUGGGGGAUAUUGCACAAUGGGGGAAACCCUGAUGCAGCGACGCCGCGUGUGGGAAGACGGCCCUCUGAUUGUAAACCACUGUCCCCAGGGACGAAGAUGACGGUACCUGGGGAGGAAGCUCCGGCUAAUUACUGGCCAGCAGCCGCGGUAAUACGUAGGGAGAGAGCGUUGUCCGGAAUUACUGGGUGUAAAGGAAGCGUAGGGGGGACGGCGAGAUGGGUGUAAAAUCUACCGGCUCAAACGGUAGCCGCAUUCAAAACUGAAGUUCUUGAGGGAAGUAGAGGCGGGUGGAAUGCCUAGUGUAGCGGGGAAAGGCGUAGAGAUUAGGAGGAAAACCAGUGGCGAAGGCGGCCUGCUGGGCAUUUACUGACGCUGAGGUUCGAAAGUGUGGGGAGAAAACAGGAUUAGAUACCCGGGUAGUC